GGCAUUUUGGGAGUUCACUGGCUUCAGGUUCCAUCAGAACUCCGAAGUUAAGCGAAUUCGCGCGAGAGCAAUCCCAUGAUGGGUGACCCAUUGGGAAGUUCUCGUGUGAGUUCCUAGAAAUAAAAUCGUGAGGGCGUGGUUGGGGCCCAAAGCGGACAAUAUCGUACUACGGCAGAGUUGAGCUUGGGAUGUGGUGGGGGCCUAGGCCGAGAUGUAACAAUUUGGUAUCAUAGCCAAUCCCUGGCCGAAAGUGUGCCGAUGAGGACGUCGGGCUCCUAAGGAGGGUGAAUUGUAACAUCCCACAUCGCCCAGGAGAGUGGAUCCUAUAAGCCUUAUAUGUAUAUUCCUAUCUCUACCUAGCACGAGGCUUUUUGGGAGUUCACUAGCUUCGGGUUCCAUCGGAACUCCGAAGUUAAGCAAGUUUGCGCAAGAGCAAUCUUAUGUUGGGUGACCCACUAGGAAGUUCUCGUGUGAGUUCCU
rnacentral:sRNA from 1 species